rnacentral:rRNA from 1 species
AGAGUUUGAUCCUGGCUCAGGAUGAACGCUGGCGGCGUGCCUAAUACAUGCAAGUCGAGCGAACGGACGAGAAGCUUGCUUCUCUGAUGUUAGCGGCGGACGGGUGAGUAACACGUGGAUAACCUACCUAUAAGACUGGGAUAACUUCGGGAAACCGGAGCUAAUACCGGAUAAUAUUUUGAACCGCAUGGUUCAAAAGUGAAAGACGGUCUUGCUGUCACUUAUAGAUGGAUCCGCGCUGCAUUAGCUAGUUGGUAAGGUAACGGCUUACCAAGGCAACGAUGCAUAGCCGACCUGAGAGGGUGAUCGGCCACACUGGAACUGAGACACGGUCCAGACUCCUACGGGAGGCAGCAGUAGGGAAUCUUCCGCAAUGGGCGAAAGCCUGACGGAGCAACGCCGCGUGAGUGAUGAAGGUCUUCGGAUCGUAAAACUCUGUUAUUAGGGAAGAACAUAUGUGUAAGUAACUGUGCACAUCUUGACGGUACCUAAUCAGAAAGCCACGGCUAACUACGUGCCAGCAGCCGCGGUAAUACGUAGGUGGCAAGCGUUAUCCGGAAUUAUUGGGCGUAAAGCGCGCGUAGGCGGUUUUUUAAGUCUGAUGUGAAAGCCCACGGCUCAACCGUGGAGGGUCAUUGGAAACUGGAAAACUUGAGUGCAGAAGAGGAAAGUGGAAUUCCAUGUGUAGCGGUGAAAUGCGCAGAGAUAUGGAGGAACACCAGUGGCGAAGGCGACUUUCUGGUCUGUAACUGACGCUGAUGUGCGAAAGCGUGGGGAUCAAACAGGAUUAGAUACCCUGGUAGUCCACGCCGUAAACGAUGAGUGCUAAGUGUUAGGGGGUUUCCGCCCCUUAGUGCUGCAGCUAACGCAUUAAGCACUCCGCCUGGGGAGUACGACCGCAAGGUUGAAACUCAAAGGAAUUGACGGGGACCCGCACAAGCGGUGGAGCAUGUGGUUUAAUUCGAAGCAACGCGNAGAGCGUUUGACUACGGAUCAAGAGGUUAUGGGUUCGACUCCUAUCGGGCGCGUUAAUUAUACGGGAAGUAGCUCAGCUUGGUAGAGCACUUGGUUUGGGACCAAGGGGUCGCAGGUUCGAAUCCUGUCUUCCCGAUAUACUGUAAUUAUUAUGGGGGCUUAGCUCAGCUGGGAGAGCGCCUGCUUUGCACGCAGGAGGUCAGCGGUUCGAUCCCGCUAGUCUCCACCAUAUUAUUUACAAACUAUAUAAGGCGGUGUAGCUCAGCUGGCUAGAGCGUACGGUUCAUACCCGUGAGGUCGGGGGUUCGAUCCCCUCCACCGCCACUAUUUAUUAGUUGUAAAAUUAUAUUUAGGACCU